rnacentral:rRNA from 1 species
GACGAACGCUGGCGGCGUGCUUAACACAUGCAAGUCGAACGCUGAAGCCCUUUCGGGGGUGGAUGAGUGGCGAACGGGUGAGUAACACGUGGGUAAUCUGCCCUGCACUCUGGGAUAAGCCUUGGAAACGGGGUCUAAUACCGGAUAGGACACAUCGCCGCAUGGUGUGUGUGUGGAAAUUUCUGGCGGUGCAGGUUGAGCCCGCGGCCUAUCAGCUUGUUGGUGGGGUGAUGGCCUACCAAGGCGACGACGGGUAGCCGGCCUGGGAGGGUGACCGGCCACACUGGGACUGAGACACGGCCCAGACUCCUACGGGAGGCAGCAGUGGGGAAUCUUGCGCAAUGGGCGAAAGCCUGACGCAGCAACGCCGCGUGGGGGAUGACGGCCUUCGGGUUGUAAACCUCUUUCGACCGGGACGAAGGGUGACUGACGGUACCGGUAGAAGAAGCACCGGCUAACUACGUGCCAGCCGCCGCGGUAA